rfam:Trichobilharzia regenti genome assembly, scaffold: TRE_scaffold0010142
AUCCAGAUGACGAGUCCAAAAUAGGACAAAAUGCGCAUGUUGGAU